AUUUAUUCGUAGUAAAGGAGGAUUUUUAUAUAGUUUUUGCCGUAUAUUCCAAGAAAACUUUAACGCACGAACGAAUUUGACAACGAUCAUCAUCAUCAUCAUCAUCGUCGUCGUCGUCGUCAUCCAAACAUGUGACUUUGAUAGGACGAUUAUUCGUCACGAAAGUUUAAAUCCGGCGUAAAUGGUGUUUUCAUAUAAUUGAAUGACUUGGUAACUACUAAUCUAGGUAAGAGAUAAUAUAACUUGUAAUUAUGACGUCUAAUAUAAUCGAGUAAUAUCAAUAAUAUUUGAUAAUAUUAUAAUCUAAAUAUAUCUCUAACGACUUAAGACUUUUGUAGAUAAAAUAUUACCCCCAUUUUAGAUAAGUAAGAUUCCUUACUUUGAUAAAUAUUUCACUUCAAGAGAUAGUUUUCCGGAAAAUCUAAUUAUCAUUAACCGAACUAACUUCAAAAGGUAUAGUUUUAAUAUGUUUCGUGUAUUGUGAUUCAUAUCUCUGCGAAAUGGCCAGAAGGGAAAUUAUGAAAAUGAAUUAAAAUUCUCUCUUCUAGGACUUCGAGGGGUGAAAAAAAAUCCUAACAGGUUAUUAACAAACAUUUGAUGGUCUUUAAGAAGUUGUAGAAUUAAUAGUAGGAUUGCCUAAAGAAGAGACCAGCAACCUUCUGCGGGCCGUAAACGAAAUUCGUAGGCUUCAGGCGGGCCGCGUGCAUUCUUGCUUAGUUGCAAGUUUAGUUGCUUCGUCACGAAUAUCGGCUUAAAUAGGGUUGUAUAAUGACACGAGGCAG